GCAGGAAGCAGGACAUCAGCCAGGUGAACAGACAGACAUAGAGAAGAGGACAGGAGAGGGAAAGGCAGAGUCAGUUGGCAGAAGACACUGAGCAAGAAGAGUGGUGCAGUGGGCAAGAGCUGCCCCUGGAAGCCUUAGAGGGGAAACAGGAAGGGAGAACAGGGCAGAAGAAAGGACAGAGGAUG